GAUCAUGGCUCAGGAUGAACGCUGGCGGCGUGCUUAACACAUGCAAGUCGAACGGGGUAUUAACGCUGAACGAGCGAAUAGCUGCUAGGAACGAGUUCUGUUAAGACCUAGUGGCGGACGGGUGAGUAACGCGUGGGUAACCUGCCCAUUACCGGGGGACAACAGUUGGAAACGACUGCUAAUACCGCAUAAGCGCACGGGGACGCAUGUUUCUGUGUGAAAAAACUCCGGUGGUAAUGGAUGGACCCGCGUCUGAUUAGCCAGUUGGCAGGGUAACGGCCUACCAAAGCGACGAUCAGUAGCCGGCCUGAGAGGGUGAACGGCCACAUUGGGACUGAGACACGGCCCAAACUCCUACGGGAGGCAGCAGUGGGGAAUAUUGCACAAUGGGGGAAACCCUGAUGCAGCCGACGCCGCGUGAGUGAAGAAGUAUUUCGGUAUGUAAAGCUCUAUCAGCAGGGAAGAUGAUGACGGUACCUGACUAAGAAGCCCCGGCUAACUACGUGCCAGCCGCGGC
rnacentral:rRNA from 1 species